rnacentral:rRNA from 1 species
UGCCACAGCCAUAUCACCCUGCAGCCCAAGAGCAGUUACUGAAGCUAAGGAGGGCUGAGCCUGGUCAGUACCUGGAUGGGAGACCACAUGGGAAAACUAGGUUGAUGUUGGAA